GACGAACGCUGGCGGCGUGCUUAACACAUGCAAGUCGAACGGUAAGGCCCCUUCGGGGGUACACGAGUGGCGAACGGGUGAGUAACACGUGGGUGAUCUGCCCUGCACUUCGGGAUAAGCCUGGGAAACUGGGUCUAAUACCGGAUAGGACCUCUGCCUGCAUGGGCGGGGGUGGAAAGCUUUUGCGGUGUGGGAUGGGCCCGCGGCCUAUCAGCUUGUUGGGGGGGUGAUGGCCUACCAAGGCGACGACGGGUAGCCGGCCUGAGAGGGUGUCCGGCCACACUGGGACUGAGAUACGGCCCAGACUCCUACGGGAGGCAGCAGUGGGGAAUAUUGCACAAUGGGCGCAAGCCUGAUGCAGCGACGCCGCGUGAGGGAUGACGGCCUUCGGGUUGUAAACCUCUUUCAGUACCGACGAAGCGCCGAUGAUGGUGGUGACGGUAGGUACAGAAGAAGCACCGGCCAACUACGUGCCAGCCGCCGCGGUAA
rnacentral:rRNA from 1 species